GGCGUGGUUGGAGCAGGCAGCAUACGCGCAGAUGACGCUAGAUAAAAUAGGAGCCUAGAUCAAUACGGAACGGGAGGGAGGUACGUGUACCGCGGCCAGGACUCGCCGGCGUUUGCGUCGGGACUCCGUGGUGGACGCACCUCCGACAUGUCCAGCGGGAAUCCAGAUUUUUGCUAGACAUAUCGGACGUACUUUUUUUGUCUUCUGGUGAAGAAUCAUGCUUCGUAUUACUUAGCAAUGGUUUGGAUCCACUGGACUGUAUGUUUAGUUCAAGAAACCAGAAACCAGCGAAUCAAGGCGGGCGAGAGUGACUUCUAGAAAUAUGUUCAUCAGUUUAACACUACAUCAUCUCACUUAUUUUGAAUAAGAAGAGAAACUUCUCAUGGCUUUGCCGGUUGUGGAGGUUGACUUCCUGUACAAGAGUGUUAGAGAUGAUUUUAAGCGCUACGUGAAAACGUAAGUGCAUCGGACUUUGCAGAAUAUGGUCAGAAGCCACACCCAGUGGGGCACGCUAGCAGAUAAGACUUUUGCACGGCGAUCACCGGAGCGGCAUAUCCAUCGGAGCAUCUCUUCUGGCUUCAUAAUAAGUUCACUUCUGUAUUUAUAACAUUCACCAACCAUUUGUAUACUUUGUUUUUGCAAUUAGGCCAAAAUUUGUGGAGAACAAUAACUAGCUACGCACCCUGUUUGCUCAAGCGAUCUUCGUCCUUUAUUAAAUCUAUGCGUAGCGAAUAAUUGCCGUGUUCAAUUUCUCAAUGUACUAUUUACAUUUUGAUACUGUUUUAUACUAUUAAUUGGUCAAUUUCUCUAAAUUCUUCAUCAAAUUCGCGGUUGCAGCUUGUUGGUCUUCAGGGCAUCAAAAUUGUUACUCAUCCCAUCAUAUUUAUCUCUCCUGUCCUGUAUACUUUAACAGAAUCCUUCUUCUUUUUUCCUUUCGUAUCCUUACAUUUAGAGUAGUCCAGAUCCCGAACCUUGAAUAUAACCAUCACUGCCACUGCGUAUUUAAACAUUUUUUAUCUCCUUAUCAGGGAGCUACCCCGGAUCGCAGGGAUUAUUGUGUGAGUAACACUUGUCCUGGGGUUAUUGUGGUGUGUACUAGUCAAUGACUUGAUAAUACGCAGCUAGUUUUAAUCUUAUCAUUUAAUUAAAUAUAGUUGGCAAGGUUACGUAAAUAUAUAAUUUACUGAGAGUUGGUUUAACAUCACGGUGGAAAUAAAUGGAAUGUAGAAAAAA